rnacentral:rRNA from 1 species
GACGAACGCUGGCGGCGUGCUUAACACAUGCCAGUCGAACGGAAAGGCCCCUUUGGGGGUACUCGAGUGGCGAACGGGUGAGUAACACGUGAGUAACCUGCCCUUGACUUCGGGAUAACUUCAGGAAACUGGGGCUAAUACCGGAUAGGAAUCCUUGCUGCAUGGUGGGGGUUGGAAAGCUUCGGCGGUUUUGGAUGGACUCGCGGCUUAUCAGCUUGUUGGUGGGGUAGUGGCUUACCAAGGCUUUGACGGGUAGCCGGCCUGAGAGGGCGACCGGCCACAUUGGGACUGAGAUACGGCCCAGACUCCUACGGGAGGCAGCAGGGGGGAAGAUUGCACAAUGGGCGGAAGCCUGAUGCAGCAACGCCGCGUGCGGGAUGACGGCCUUCGGGUUGUAAACCGCUUUCAGCAGGGGCGAAGCUUGUGGUGACGGUACCUGCAGAAGAAGCACCGGCUAACUACGUG